CUUGGAAGGUCCUUGAAAAGGAGUAUCUGACAGCAUGGUUUCAUAAGCUUCUCAAUCUGAUCCAAGGUUCCUGGUCUGUGCGCCUCUUCUAUUCCUUCCAGACCACCGUAGACUGCUUUGGCAAUCUUUAAAUGGAAUCUGAACCGUCAGUGCAGAGAGACCUACUCUGAGACCACCUCUGGUUAUGAUCCACAUGUGCUACUGAAGGUGGCUGGAAUGGUGUGACAAAUGAGAUUCAGAUGGAUCACUUUACCAGCUGUCAAGGCCAAUACUUCUGUACAGUCCCUGCUCUCAACAACAGCCUCAGUGUCCUUGUGGUGGGGUGUCUUGGAAGGACUGUGCACAUCAAGCUUCACACUCCCUCUGCACUUGAGGCUCUCUCUGCUGAGGCAAUGAACACAGACCUAUACUUCACACUGGUUUAUCACAGGAAUUUUUCCAGUCCCUGUUCAAACAGCUUCUGCCUGAGCAUCUCUGAACAGCUAUUUGGAGCAACUGGAAAGCAGACACAUCACAGAAACAAAGCUGGCAGUGACAGAUUUAUAAGAAUAUUGCACACUGUCAAUAAGAAGAAACUACUGACUGAUCAGUGGGGUUUUUACUCCUCCUCCUCCUUUCCUCUGAGAGAACCAAGAGCCAACCAUUUCUGGACAGCUCCCCCUCCCCUUGUGAAGCGCAGGGAAUUCAAGCAGC
rnacentral:lncRNA from 1 species